rnacentral:lncRNA from 1 species
UAUUAAAGAUUUGAUCUGAUGAGGAAAUCUUUUGGUAAGUAUGCUUAUUUCUUAGAAAUAAAACUCAAGUAUGAAGAUAUUUAAUAGUCAAGCAACGGGAUCAAUAUAAACCUACAAACACUGAGCAGUGGAGCCAGCGUUGAGAUGCCAUGGACAGUGACAGUCACCUCUGGCCCUCCCUGGUGGCUCCCUUGGUGUUAUUUUGAAUCUCUCUUCACUUUCUUUGAAAAUUAACAAUACAUCGUUGUUUGUGAGCAUUGCACUGAAACCCCAAGGCACACAUCACUCUCUCGAUCAUGGACAUCACCAGCAGUGACGCCACAGCUUGCAUCAUGGCUAUGCAGGAUAUAUAUAUAAAGAGAGAGAGCUGAUGGAAGAGAAAAAGAGGAUAAAGCAAAUGUGGCAAAAUGUUAACAAGCGAGG